GAUGGAGGAAACUGACACUACAACAGAACAGAGCUCUGGUAACACGGUGUUAUGUUACUAUAGGCGCAAAAGAGUGUUACUAGACUAAAUAGUAGCAUGUUUUGAAAUGUGUUCCAUUAGACCGUAUUACUAAGUGGUGUCCACUGUCACAUAUAAUAAUUGUUCCCAUAUGCUAGAAAUUAUGUUACCGCUCCAGUAACAU
rnacentral:lncRNA from 1 species